GUCGCAGAUGAGUUUAAAAGCCGGACCCGUGUGUGUCGAAGCAUCAGUUGAAAUUCCUUGUUUGGUUCCUCAACACGGAAGGUUCUCUCAAAUGCGAAAAUAAAUAAUGAUCCUUCCGGUGGCCUUCUGGCUCUCUGAGAUACGAGCAAGAGUGGCGCUUGCGAUCGGAUGAGAUGGAAGGGAAAUGGGCCGCGGUCUGUUACCCUAUGAGGAAACCCCUACUCUGGCAUUUAAAAAAGUAUCAUGAGAAAGUUGCCCAGAGACCACGAUGCCAACAUAAAUAUACGGAAUUGCAGAAUAAGUAUUUCGAAUUGCAAUCAAGAAACCAAAAAGAGGACCUAGAAGGUGGCAUGAACUUUGAAAAUAAGUUGCAAAGUUGCGAGCAAUAUCGCGAAUUUUAUUAAUCGAAAAAUCAAACUAAAGUGCAUGGCUUUCAGCAUCGUUGGUUUGACUUGGCUCGCACUGACCCCCUUUGACCCCAUACCCGCCCACAAAACCGCCUACGCCACUGCUCUUGGCUCAGUCGCUGCGUGUAAUAUCAGGGAUUCAAUAAACACUUCAAGCAUAAACUUGACGAUUUAUUACAACUGAAUGGGCAAGCGUCUGCCGGCAAGUGGAAACGUCUAUAUAUGCAGGCGAAAUGCACUGAACAAUAUAUGAAUUAUGUGACCCGAAAGAAUAUUGUGUGUUCCAUUAGGUGGCACUAAAAUCUAAAAAUAUAGGUACUUUGAAUUUAAUAAAUUGUUUUUAAAAAUAUAUUGAAUUAUAUUUUUUUUUAAUAAUCAAGCAAUGUCAGGUUAGCUCAAGUCUUGCCGCUGACAUUCUCUAUUCGUUUUCAAAGCAAAGACUGGAAUGCGACUAAUUUGACUAUAAUAUAAUUUAUAAAAAUAAAUUGAUAGAUAUUGUAAAAAAUUUACAUAGUGGCUAAAGUAAAUAUUAUAUAUUCUCAAAAAAUGUCAAAUUAAAUUAAAAAGUGUUCUGUUUCAUUAGGUCAUUCAAUUUAAGCAUAAUUCUCCAUUAAGGCGAUAUAUUUUGAUAGUCAAAUAA